CCGGGUGAGUAACACGUGACUAACCUACCUCCGAGUGGGGAAUAACUCCGGGAAACCGGGGCUAAUACCGCAUAACAUCGCAAGAUCAAAGCAGCAAUGCGCUUGGAGAGGGGGUCGCGGCUGAUUAGCUCGUUGGCGGGGUAACGGCCCACCAAGGCGAAGAUCGGUAUCCGGCCUGAGAGGGCGCACGGACACACUGGAACUGAAACACGGUCCAGACUCCUACGGGAGGCAGCAGUGGGGAAUUUUGCGCAAUGGGCGAAAGCCUGACGCAGCAACGCCGCGUGUGUGAUGAAGGUCUUCGGAUCGUAAAGCACUUUCGACCGGGAAGAAACGCUGUUGGCUAACAUCCAGCAGUCUGACGGUACCGGGAGAAGAAGCACCGGCUAAUUCUGUGCCAGCAGCCGCGG
rnacentral:rRNA from 1 species